CAUUCAGGUUUGGGAGUGUAGGCUCAGCCAUGACUUGAUGUCUUUCAGUCAAAUGAACAAGGGCUGCCAUGUGCUGCAGUGUGUACAUCACUGGGAAAUGACACAAGGGACAGCAUUGGCACAGAGGACCUGACUUACGGCGCACCUGUGCCAUGCUGUCGGCGAGGCACGAAAAUAGAGCCCUUAAUCUUAUUUCAGAAACGCCCUGAUCCGGACUGUUCCCACUCCAUUUUUGUUACACUUUUAUCUGUACAAAUACAGCAAUAAGAGACCGACUUUCUGACUUCACGUUUUUGUUGUUUUCGCCAUUAGUCUGGCGGUUGGGCCCCUUUGUAACUGUGGGCUCACUUCGGAACUGUGGAUAUUAUGUGGAUUUUGUAAUUGCACAAAAGUUUUCCCACCCAACUUGUAUAACAUAACAUCACAUGCAUAACUGGGGUAUUUUGUCAGUAAAAUAAAACAUAGUGAUGCUCUGCAUUUAAGGUUACUGUAUUAGGUGGAUAAGAGUAAUUCCAUUACAUAAAUUGAUUGAAUUUAGAGCUGUUGAAAUGCCAGUGUUACCACAUGAGGGCACCCCUUUACUGUGCAACAUACUUGUUAGUUCAUUAUAGAAGUGUGAGGUUUUGAUUUUAAAUAGAUGAACACCUGGACAGGGGUUGCACAGGUGACCAGUAAAUCACAGGACUAUGAAAAACUCUUUUUUUUUCAUCUACAUUAUCUAAACUUCAAUAUUCAUAAUUCAAAAUAAUCAUAGGUUAUGGGUUUUAUUCCAUAUAUCUUUAUCAUUUAUAUUUUACUACUCUAAACUUGAAAGUCCUACUGCUUUCAUAAUUUUUUAAAAUUGUUUUAUUUUAACCUAAUGUCAUAUUUACUCUCAUUUCACAUUUUUUUCUCUAAUGACUCAGGGACACACAAGAAUUCCAGUGUACCUGUUGUCUGUUUAACUUGUACAAAUGGCAAUAAAACUAACCGGGGGAAGAGAAUUUGGAAAAGGAUAUCCUCUGUGUAACACAAAAGCUGCCUCUUUGUUCAUUUGUUCCAUCCUUAUCAAUUAGAAGUUAAAAUGAAAUUGAAAGUGUUGCUAAAAGCCCGCCUUGUCAGCCAAAGAAAGACUUUAUGUAAAACAAAUGCUCAUUGAUAAAAAUGAAGUUCAACAAAAAUCUUAGACUUUAAUUUGAAUUUUAUGCACUCCAUGUGUUACACUAUUUUUAGUCAACAGUGAUGUGGUAUGAAAUGAUUGGGGAACCAUUUUUAGAGCAGAAUUAGUUAUUCUCAAUAUAUUUCCCUUGGAGUCUAUGAGAUGUGAAGUUUAUACAGUAGACAGUGAAAAUAUGUUCACUUUGCUGUGAGAGCGAAUCAUAAAUUGUUUAUAUCUGAAAGACCUUGAAACCUUCAGACCAGGAGUCAGUCCAGAGAGCCAAAAGUUGAAGUUUUCAAAGACGGUUUUAAAAAACAAACAUUUGUGAUGAAGUGCAGUCUGAUGAGGGCCACAAAAUCUCUUGACUUUACACCCCAGGAGCUUCCUCUUUUCUCCAGGAAACAUUACAAAAGAAUAUUUCCACAACACAGAAGAUCACAACUGUAAAAGGGAAGGACAGAGCAGGGAUAUGUAUGACUGUUGCUAUUUAACAAAGAUUUCAGAGGCAGCUUACCUUCAGUUCAGGAACGUAUCUGCUCCCAAGAAACAAACUGUUUGCUGUACCCUUCACAGCAUUUUAGUGUUCUUGUUGUGUUUUCAGGAUGUGAUAUUGUUGUUGUAUUUGAUAACAGCAGCAGUAUCAGUUAUUUUUGAAACAUGAAGUCUGGUGGAGUCCAGAAAUUGUCUUUUGUUCUGUGCAGUAAUUGUUAAAGUUGUGGAAAUCUGGGGGGCUGCAUGUAUUUGUAUACUGCUUUGUGCCAUCAGAUCCAUAUUUAUUUCAUUUCAUUCUGGUUAUUUGCUUGUUUACAUAUGCCAGUUCACAACAAGUGCUAUCCCAAGAUGCUUCAUAAAAAAGCUGGCCUAGACUAAACUCUAUUAACAAAGAUGUAAAGAUGGGACACAAAUGUGCCCUAUCUUGUGAGAUCCCACCCAUUGUCAUCCCAUCUUUAACCACAUGAGUGUAGCACUUGGCAGCAUCUAGCAAAUUAUAGUGGAGAGGAAAAACUUGCCUUUAACAGGCAUAAACCCGAACAGAGCCAGACUCAUAUUAGACAGUCAUCUGCCAUUACUGCAUUGGGGUUAGAGAGGAGAUAGAGAGAGAUGUACAGAGGUGAGACUAAUGCACAUAGGUUGAAUCAGCGGGAAUCAGGCAGCAAAACAUCUGCAGCAGUGAUCCAGAGGAAACUAUAUCAUGAUGGAGCUCAGGGACUCCCAGUAAAGACAGUGUGUUAGUGACUCUGAUGGAACACAAUGAUUCAAAGUUAAUGGCACUGACAGAAAGAGGAUGGAGAAGGAGAGGAAGCAGCUCAAUAUGCCACUACCCCUGGCAGUCUAAACCUAUAGCAGCAUAGCUAAGAGCAGACUGGAAUGUAAACCAGCCCCAACUAAAAGCUUUAUUAAAGAGGAAUAUCUAAAGCCUACUCUCAAGUCUGCUUCCCACAUCUCGACUGGUAGAUGAUUUCAGUGAAGAGGGGUCUCAUAGUUGAAAGCUCUACCACCCAGACCACUUUUUACUUUGUAAGACUUACUCAGAUCCUCCCAGAGGCUCAAGUAGGAAAGAGGGAGGGGAGAAGGAGUGGAGUGGUUUAAACACAGCCGAGUCCUGUUUUCACCAAUCACAUCAGCUAUAUCGAUAUAGACCCAAAUGUAUAUGCUGACUCAGAUAAUUAAGAACCAGAAUCAUUUAUUAAUGGCCACACAACAGAGUUAGUGGAAUUUGUUUUUCCGUAACAGCACUUCAUGUCAGAUACAUACAUGCAAAAAUCAAUAUUGAUAUUGAAUACUGGUUGUUGUUGAUUAUUUAUUGCCAUGAAAUGUGUCUGACACUGUGGAAACCUGCCUGUGAGGUAUUGGUCACAUGUGCGCACUGCUGCCCCAGUUCAAAAUACCACUUGACCAGCUGCGCUCUGUCUGUGCUGAAAGCUGACCAGGUUAGAAUCGGUGAGCUUUCAGCACACUUUCUAUACCGCCGCCGGGCAUAGAAAUAUCACUGCACCAGCUGAUUCUGUUGACACCUCCCCUUACUGCACUGCCCUAACUUGGGGCAUCUCAGUGUGCCCCAGUCUACCAAACUGCCAAACGGACUGUGCAUCGGUCUGCAAUGGACUAAAGUACCACUGGGCAUGGUGCGCCACCCUAUGUCUUCCCCUGUCAGGCACAAAAAUAGAGCCCUUUAAGGUUGAUCAGGCCUACAUUUUAGGACUGCAAAAAUUUCUCCCUGUUCAAUCAAAGUUUUGGGAAAUGACAGACACUGGAGGAGAGCAAAUCCUCAAACUUGACAAUGUCCCAGAGCUAAGCUAUUGUUAGCUGCAGCUUAAUUUAUGACCCCUCUUCAUUGAAGAGCACAGGAGAGACAUUAUUCUGAGAUUUUCUAUUGUGUGUUUUUAUUAUUGUUUUGGUAUUUGAAGAAGUGAAGAACUUGGAGAGACUUCUGUGACUUGCUCCUCACAAAUGUUGAACACUCAACAAAUUCUAUCUUAAAAAUAAGUGAGCUUGUAGAAACAUGGGGAUCUAAUGUAAUUGACAGGGUGGCUUGCAGCCCCAAGGUCAUACAAUGUCCACCCAAGGUUUGCUUUAAACAUUUUAAUAUUUUAACCAUCUUUACAGCAUAAAAAAAAAAAUCAUCUUGAUUAGUAGGGCAGAAAUUCUUAGUCAAAAAAUUGUAUUGCAUGGCUUGGCAUAACUUAACGGGUUUUAACAGUAAUUCUCGAUGUACUUUGUUGCAAACCAUAUAAAGUCAUAAACUUAAUUGGAAAUAGUUCAAAGACAUGUCAAGUGUUGAAAUGUUUUAAAAUUCAAUUAAAAUAUAUACUCAUGUUAAAUUUGAUGCCAUUUUAGUGACAUGUUUCAAAAAGGGUUUGGCACCUGGUGUUGAUUUUCAGACUUUUUGUUUUUGUACAAAAUAAUUUGGAGAUGCUCCUUAAGAAGUAUUUUUUACCAUUACAGUUUUCAGAGCCCAUUUUCCCUGUCCCAACCUUUUGGAAUAUGUUUUAAAUGAGCAGGUAAUGUAUUUUUCACAAAGCAAUAUAGUGUACAUGUCAAUCCUUUAUCUGUUUGUCCACAGGGACAACCCUUUACUACUCAGAAAAACAGAGAGCUCUGUCCUUGAGUCAAGGGAUGGUCAGAAUUCAAACUUUGUUGACAGGCGUGACCAUUCAUCAUUUUCAUCCGCAGAGUGAUUGCAAAUGAUCUCCUUUCAAAUUACCUGCUGGACCAAAGCUUAAGCUAUGCAAAGCCUAUUUGUAAGGGGAUGCUACAAUUUAACAUAAACCAAAGACACUUGGUUAAAUUUAUUCAUUCAUUUGUCUGCAUUUGCUUGUGAACCCAUGUGAACUUAAAACCUCAUCCAAACCUAAAUCCUUUUUAUGUUACAAUGUUAGCAAAGAAAAAAUGUUUGGAGCAUCAAAGACAUUCACUUUGAUUGUUUCAUGUAAACACGUAAACAGUGGGUUAUUUUAAAUUCAGUAUCAAUGAACAAGUACUUUGUGCAAAAUAAAAUAGAAAAAAAUCGGUUUGAUUUUGAGUUAAUUUUUCUGCUAUUGUGUAUGUCUAUCACAUCAAGUCAAAAUGUAAACCGGUGUCAGUCACGUAGCAUUUGUUUGGUUUGCAGGAAACAUUAAGUAGAGACCAAAUUGACUCUUCAGGUAUGUUAAAGUGGACAAAGGUACAAAGGAAAGGUCUACCAAAGAACCCUGCUUACCUUGAAUACAACAAGGGGCUGACUCAGCUCAUCAGAGCGGCAAACAAGGGCAGUGUUUUAUCUACAUCCACCUAGCUCCUAGCACUGUUGUAAUAACUGCAAGACAUUUUGAAAAAGUUGAGAUAUUUCCUGGAGUGGGGUCAACACAAAGAUGUUCUUGAUUCUAUCAGAUGUCACCCUGCAAAAAAAAAAAUUGACUUACAAGGGGAAAAAUAAGUAUUGAACGCAUCAAAGUUUUUCUCUUUACAUUUAUUUCCAAAGAUGCAAUUCAAAUGAAAUUCCUGCGAGGCAUUGGUAUGAAUUCAAAUAAUCCACACAUGAAAAGAAAUCACAACGUUCAAGUCCAUAAAUAAUGAUUAUGCACUAACAGAAAAAAAGUAUUGAACACACCAUGGAAAGGCUGUAUACUUUGGCAAGGAAAUGCGCCACACCACCUGAAAUCUGUCAGUAAUUAUUACUUGUACAUCCAAUCAGUGCAAACCAACAUCAGCUGGGUUAGAGCAAAUUGAUGGUCCUAUAAACAGGUUGUUUUGUCACCAAGAGGUCAAACAAGACACAUCUCAUGAUGGGUAAAGGCAGAGAGCUCUCUGAAGACAUUCGCAACCUGAUUGUUGCUCAGCAUCAGAAUGGAACUGGUUACAGACUUACAUCAAAGCGCCUGAAUAUUCCAGUCAGCACCAUUGGGGCCAUUAUCCGCAAGUGGAAGAAACACCACCUUACCAUCAACAGGCCACGCUCAGGAGCUCCUCGCAAGAUUUCUGACCAGAGAGUACAAAAGAUGGUCAGAAGAGUACUCAAUGGGCCAAGGACCACCCUGAAAGUGCUCCAGAAAGACUUAGAGGCAGCAGGUACAAUUGUUACAGAGAAAACAGUUGGCAAUGCACUCCACCGCCAUGGACUCUAUGGACGCUCAGCCCGCAAGACUCCAUUCCUCAAGAAAAAGCAUGUUGAAGCUUAUUUAAAGUUUGCUAAACAGUAUCUUGACAAGCCUGUAGAAUACUGGGAGAAUGUUGUCUGGUCAGACGAGACCAAAAUUGAAUUUUUCGGCUGUCAUACUGCACACCAUGUUUGGAUAAGAAAUGGCACUGCACAUCACCCAAAAAACACUAUACCGACAGUGAAGUUUGGAGGUGGAAGCAUCAUGGCAUGGGGUUGUUUCUCAUCUCGGGGUAUUGGCAAACUUAAUAUAAUUGAAGGAGCAAUGAAUGGAGCCAUGUAUCGGGGAAAUUCUUGGUAUGAACCUGCGGCCAUCCACCAGGAUGAUGAAGAUGAGACGUGGCUGGUACUUCCAGCAGGACAAAGAGCCAAAGCACACAGCAAAGUUAACUCUCAAAUGGUUUCAAAAAAGAAAAUUAAUCUGUUGGAAUGGCCCAGUCAAUCUCCUGACUUAAAUCCAAUUGAACAUUUGUGGAAGAAACUAAAGAAAAGGGUUCACCAGAGGGCACCAAAAGACAUUCAAGAUUUAAAGACAAUGGGCUCUAUUUUCGUGCCUCGCUGGUGACGCGGCGCAUGCGCAGUGUAAGUCAGGUCCGCCGCGCGGACAAGGCAUUCCCAAGCACAAUUUGGUAUUUUGGUGAGCAGCACAGCCCGGCGUAGGUAUUCCCCCUCCCUAACUCAGCUCCUCCCAGCAGCGUAAGUCGUAGGGAGGGAGGAGAGAGGGCGUGGAGUGGGUUUAACACAGCUGAGACCUGUAUUGACCAAUAACAUCAGCUCCUCUCCUCGCCUUUAAAUCUGCCACAAGCAAGGCGUAUUACUAUUUUUGUGAAGUAGUCAAAGAGAUCAAGAUUUGUCUGAAGACAGUAAUGCCACACGAUGGCGACAGAAGGCAGCUCCUCAACAAGUGUCACUGUAAACGCUGCAGAGGGUGUCUGGACACUCUCUCAUAUGAGCACAGAUGGAUUUGGUGUGUGCGAGGUUGGACCCACUAGUAAGACAAACACCCUUUUCCACAAAUAAAGACACUCACAUAAAGUUGCAUAUAUUCAAACCUCACGUGACAAAGGUGGGUUGUGUGCAGAGAUCACAUCAUAAAUUCCAAAAAUGGCAUUAAAAUCGGAACCAUCUGUGCGUAAAUGACGCAUCGUGCUCCGUGGCCUGGCUCUUUCUUUCAUAGAUGUUGGCAUAUAAAAUAAAUUUGGCUCACAAAACUGAAUAUUAUAAUAUUCGUAUGUAGGCUUAAAGUAAAUAACUCAUCUGAUCACUGAAACAAAUCAUCUGUUCAGCCGUCGCAGCAGCAGCUGCAGCAGGAUGGGGAGCGGACACGGAGACAUGUCCAGGUCGAGCUGCGCGAGAAAUAAGAGGCAGAGGAAGAAAGAAAAGGAGGGAGACGAAUUACAUGUCUUUUUAACUUCAUCAUGUGUGUUUAUUUACUAGAUAUUUAAUUAAUGCGGUUUCAGCUGUGCUGAUUCGGUCAGGUUGUGUAUCCAAACGUGUGCCAAACGCGCUCAUCAGAACAGAUAUAGAUCAGAAUAUACAUCUAUAGAUCUAAAUAUAUGUGUUGACUCAGAUUAUUAGUUGUUGAUGAUUAUUUAUUGCACUGAAAUGUGCCUGACACUGUGGAAACCUGCCUGUGAGGCAUCAGUGACAUAUGCCGAUACGCCGCCAGUCUACCAAAACACCACUAGACCAGCUGCGCUCCGCCUGCGCUG